CCUGGGCCGGACGUGUCUCCGGAGUGUCCAGCAACAAUUUGUGCAUUCAUGCAUGAGUUGUUGCUGGACAUUCCUAAUUAAUAAAGUUUACUCCAAACAUCACCCCAUGUGCAGCGCUAUCAUUAAAAAGGUUACUCUCAACCUUACAAGCAGUACUCAACUUCCGCCUGGAAAACAGAAGUUCCUCCAGCAGCCAGUAGAGACGCAGUGAAGAAAUACUCGUCCUCGAGUAACCAACACACUCUACUGGAAAACGAUCCGGCGACCUACUGCACAUUUAUUGUUAUUUUUGAAUCGGCCCAAAAUACUGUUGACAUUACAGUUAUUUUUAUUUAAUACCAUCUUGAGUUCUUGUUCUCGCUUGUGUUUAAGUGUCAACAGUAUUCGUGUACUCUACCGGUGUAUUAGUUUAUCCCCGGACCGCAGGGACAGUCUGAUUGUAACACUAGUCCUGGGAGCUGGCCUAAAGGAGUGAGAUCUACUAGAUGUGAAUGUAAUGGCUUUGAAGCCAACACUAA